rnacentral:rRNA from 1 species
UACGUAGGGUGCAAGCGUUGUCCGGAAUUAUUGGGCGUAAAGAGCUCGUAGGCGGUCUGUCGCGUCGGCUGUGAAACUCGGAGCUCAACCUCGGGUCUGCAGUCGAUACGGGCAAACUGGAGUGUUGCAGGGGAGACUGGAAUUCCUGGUGUAGCGGUGAAAUGCGUAGAUAUCAGGAGGAAUACCGAUGGCGAAGGCAGGUCUCUGGGCCGAUACUGACGUGAGGAGCGAAAGCGUGGGGAGCGAACAGG